UUUUAAAUUUAUUUAAGUAAAAAGUUUAAUUCUGUCUUUUAUUUUAAAUUAGCUUUUGAAUUUAUAAUAUUAAAUAUAAGUUUUUGCGAGGGUUAUAUUUAAUCUAAAUGAUUAAUUUAUUUUAUUAUUUGUAGUUUUUAUUUUUUUGUAUUACAGUAAUGUAGAUCUUAGUUAAUUAUCAGAAGAAUUGUAAAAGGGUGUGCCAGCAGACGCGGUUAUACACCCAAUUCAAGUUAAUUUUUUUGGUUUAUAUUUAUAAAUUUAUUUUUGGGAAUUAAUUUAAUUUUUGUUAGGUUAAAUUUUAAUUUUUAUUAUAUUU
rnacentral:rRNA from 1 species